GACGAACGCUGGCGGCGUGCUUAACACAUGCAAGUCGAACGGAAAGGCCCUGCUUUUGUGGUGUGCUCGAGUGGCGAACGGGUGAGUAACACGUGAGUAACCUGCCCUUGACUUUGGGAUAUCUUCAGGAAACUGGGGCUAAUACCCGAUAGAAGCUCCUGCUGCAUGGUGGUGGUUGGAAAGUUUCGGCGGUUGGGUAUGGACUCGCGGCUUAUCAGCUUGUUGGUGGGGUAGUGGCUUACCAAGGCUGUGACGGGUAGCCGGCCUGAGAGGGUGACCGGCCACAUUGGGACUGAGAUACGGCCCAGACUCCUACGGGAGGCAGCAGUGGGGAAUAUUGCACAAUGGGCGGAAGCCUGAUGCAGCAACGCCGCGUGCGGGAUGACGGCCUUCGGGUUGUAAACCGCUUUCGCCUGUGACGAAGCGUGAGUGACGGUAAUGGGUAAAGAAGCACCGGCUAACUACGUG
rnacentral:rRNA from 1 species